UUAUCCGGAUUUAUUGGGUUUAAAGGGUGCGUAGGCGGCAAGGUAAGUCAGCGGUGAAAGACCAGGGCUCAACUCUGGAAGUGCCGUUGAUGCUGUCUGGCUAGAAUGAUUCCGCCGUGGGAGGAAUGAGUAGUGUAGCGGUGAAAUGCAUAGAUAUUACUCAGAACACCGAUUGCGAAGGCAUCUCACGAGGGGUUCAUUGACGCUGAGGCACGAAAGCGUGGGGAUCGAACAGGAUUAGAUACCCUGGUAGUCCACGCAGUAAACGAUGAUGGCUAACUGUCGGGCCUUCGGGUUCGGCGGCCAAGCGAAAGCGAUAAGCCAUCCACCUGGGGAGUACGACCGCAAGGUUGAAACUCAAAGGAAUUGACGGGGGCCCGCACAAGCGGAGGAACAUGUGGUUUAAUUCGAUGAUACGCGAGGAA
rnacentral:rRNA from 1 species